UACUGCAACAGCAGGUCCACGGCCUCUGCCAGGUUGUCCACGUACCCAUCAGCCUUCACUUCUGGAUGGUGCUCGUCACUGGGCCUGGAGAGCAGGGCUACAGCGUCGGCCCAGUGGCUCCCCCGGGGCUGCGGAGGCCCCAAACCGAGAGCCUCGGAGACAACACAAGAGGAUGAGUGCGUGGGACCCCCCCCUCCGCCACCCCCCCACUCGACUCGACCCCGGGGCCAACGACUCGAACAAGAAUAGCUCUCAUGUCAGGGCAGGUAUCCCAGGGGAUUAUUAUUUCAUCCUUGCCAUCACAGCCAUAACCCGACGGACGCGGGGACUGAAGAUUUGUGUUACCCCGCGUCAGUGCCGGAACAGGUACUGGUCACCGUCAAAAGGUUGUAUGUGGCCUGGCCACUCAGCGAACCGUGCGUUGGCCCCUCCUUGCGACCCACCAGUUUCACUCCUACGUGUGCACAUAACACGUUCCUCGAAGGACACGGACCAGAAUGUUCCUAACGGCUUCGGUCACGAUGG